ACAAAACGUAUGUACCAGCUGUCCCAAUUUAUGGUCACCAUCCUGUCGACGUUGCACGCCGACCGGAAUGUUUACCCGUCUGCAGGUGUGCUGUUUGUCCACGUCCUGGAGAGAGAGCACUUCAAAGGAGAGUUUCCCCCCUAUCCCAAACCUGGGGAUUCCAGCAACGACCCCAUCACCUUCAACACCAACCUGAUGGGCUACCCAGACCGGCCAGGCUGGCUGCGUUACAUCCAGAGAACCUCACACAGCGAUGGGGUGCUCUACGGAUCCCCCACUGCCGAACACGUGGGCAAGGCCACCAUCAUAGAGAUUAUUGCCUAUAACAGACGCACUUUCGAAACGGCCCGGCACAACUUGGUCAUAAACAUCAUGUCCACAGAAGAGUACCCACUGCCGUACCAGGCAGAGUUCUACAUAAAGAACAUGAAUGUGGAGGAGAUGUUGGCAAGCGAGGUUCUGGGAGACUUCCUAGGGGCAGUGAAGAACGUGUGGCAGCCCGAACGCCUCAACGCCGUCAACAUCACCUCAGCCCUGGACAGGGGCGGACGUGUUCCCCUGCCCAUAAACAACCUCAAAGAGGGUGUGUAUGUGAUGGUGGGAGCUGACGUGCAGUUCUCUUCCUGCCUGAGGGAGGUGGAGAACUCCCAGAACCAGCUCCGCUGCAGCCAGGAGAUGGAGCCUGUCAUUAGCUGUGACAAGAAGUUCAGAGCCCAGUUCGACAUCGACUGGUGUAAGAUCAAUCUGGUGGACAUCACCAAGAUGAUCAUGAUCCACAGUAAUCGUCCAGACCCAGGGACGGGGGUCCUGCCUGACAUCGGGGGGUACAACCCCCCGCCAGAGUCUCUGAAGAGCAGGGACUUCUUUGCCGACUUCCUCAUCACGUUGGCGGUGCCCUCGGCCGUGGCCAUGGUCCUCUUCAGCGUCCUGGGUUACUCCAUGUGCUGCCGGCGGGAAGGGGUGGAUAAAAGAAACAUGCAAACACCAGAGUAAGUGUUAAUUCUCUCCUGUGUUUUUUUUAUUUAGAGUUUUGGUUCCUCUUAGUUUGGAUUCCCCCUUCAAAUAAUUUGCCCUUUCACCUUUUGCUUUCAAAUCGCCAUGGUGACAUCCUCAUGUCCAUUCAUACUGUCAUCUGUGUGUUUUACAUCCCGUCAUCCAAUGAGCUGCUCAAAGCUGCAGGGAGGUGUUAGAAUGGAAGUCAACCUUAACUGAUCCAGGGCCAGAUAUUGAUUCACCACCUCUAAUGGGGGAGGAUUGGGAGAUACAGUAAUCUUACCCUACAUCUGUGGUUAAGGAGAAUUUAUAUAGUUCUGUACCUGAAGCAGAGAAAUAUCAGACCAGUGUUGUUUACAGAGACAGAGAGGAGGUGAGGGAGGCAGAGACAGAGAGUGUGAGAGACACAGAGACAGGGGGAAAGGGGGAGAGAGAGGAGGAGAGAGAUAGGGAGGGUGGAGAGAGAAGGGGGAAGGGAGAGAGACAGAGAUCGGGAGAAGGGGGAGAGAAACAGAGAGAGGGGGGAGAAAAGAGAGUGGUAUGAGCCAUAAGAGGGUGGGAGACACUCUCAAACAAACCCCAUUAUGCUCAGCACACAGCCAAAUAACCAAUAGUAACAACAAAACAGUUCCUCCUGUCAAAGAGAAACACUCUUUAUGCUUGUUGGUCUACAAAUAUUUCCUAUAUAAUAUAUACCUUAUGCAUGAUGUGUACAGUACACUAAGUGUGCGUGUUGACUGCGAUGUUAAGGAUACAACAAGGGAGAUACAAUGAGUCCAGAUAUCUACUUCCCAGGGUCAGAUGAACUCAUGGAUACCAUUUGUAUGUCUCUGUGUCUCAUAGUUAGAGGUAGUUUUGCAAGCCAACGCUAAUUAGGUUUAGCACAAAGACGGGAAGUAUAGGGUGCCUACUGAAUGCUAUCAGAUACCCAUAGACUUCCAGUCAUUGCAUUAACAAACUACCUCUGACUUCCUCCAUACUGGACACAAAACAUACAAAU
rnacentral:lncRNA from 1 species